rnacentral:rRNA from 1 species
CGGCGGACGGGUGAGUAACGCGUGGGUAACCUGCCUCAUACAGGGGGAUAACAGUUGGAAACGGCUGCUAAUACCGCAUAAGCGCACAGUGCCGCAUGGUACGGUGUGAAAAACUCCGGUGGUAUGAGAUGGACCCGCGUCUGAUUAGGUAGUUGGUGGGGUAACGGCCUACCAAGCCGACGAUCAGUAGCCGACCUGAGAGGGUGACCGGCCACAUUGGGACUGAGACACGGCCCAA